rnacentral:rRNA from 1 species
ACGAACGCUGGCGGCGUGCCUAAUACAUGCAAGUUGAGCGCUGAAGGUUGGUACUUGUACCAACUGGAUGAGCAGCGAACGGGUGAGUAACGCGUGGGGAAUCUGCCUUUGAGCGGGGGACAACAUUUGGAAACGAAUGCUAAUACCGCAUAAAAACUUUAAACACAAGUUUUAAGUUUGAAAGAUGCAAUUGCAUCACUCAAAGAUGAUCCCGCGUUGUAUUAGCUAGUUGGUGAGGUAAAGGCUCACCAAGGCGAUGAUACAUAGCCGACCUGAGAGGGUGAUCGGCCACAUUGGGACUGAGACACGGCCCAAACUCCUACGGGAGGCAGCAGUAGGGAAGCUUCGGCAAUGGACGAAAGUCUGACCGAGCAACGCCGCGUGAGGGAAGAAGGUUUUCGGAUCGUAGAACUCUGUUGGUAGGGAAGAACGUUGGUGAGAGUGGAAAGCUCAUCAAGUGACGGUAACUACUCAGAAAGGGACGGCUAACUACGUG